GAAAUAUAAAAAAAAAGCUUCUAACUUAUUUAAUAGUGAAUAAUAUCAUUAAUAUUUCU
rnacentral:tRNA from 1 species